rnacentral:rRNA from 1 species
AUGUUUGACGGAGUUGAGCUGAUGCUUCGGGGAGUCGAGUAUGUGCCAGGGCUAAGGAGGAAUCUGAUUUUGCUUGGUGUUCUUCAUGAUGGUUGUAUGGAGUUCCGUUGUGAUCGGGAUAAGAAGACCAUGAAAAUCAUGGAAGAUGGGGUGACCAUGAUGAUAGGAGAGAGGACGGCUUCGCAUCAUUACAAGUUGCAAGGAUGAACUAUUGCAGGUGGAGCCAUGGAGAGUGGAGCUGUAGGAGUAGCAGUGGAGUCCCAAGGUGGUGGCGGGUCUGGCCCGUCGGGUAGCUCUCAGUAA